AGACGCCCGCCCUGCCUGAGGUUUCCUUGUGUCCCGGACUCUGCUGUUUUUCUUUUGUCUAAUUUGUCCAUUUCUGCACUUGGCAAUUUCUUGGGAACUAACUUGAAUCUACUUCUCCCUUGUCUGUAAUAGUCUCUUCUCUCUCUCUCUCUCUCUCUCUCUCUCUCUCUCUCUCUCACACACACACACACACACACACACACACACACACACACACACACACACACACACUGUCUUCUUUUCUUCCUCUUAGCCAUCUCUGGGUCUUCCAGCUGGCUCUGGCCUGUCCCUGGCACCUCCCAGCUACCUACUGAUCCGACGGCGCCCAAGCCGGUAUAGGCUGGUAAGACUGCUCCCGGGAAGGAGGCUCCGGGAUGAUCCACGCGGCCGCGCCCCGCACCCACCGGCGGCGCCACGGAGACGCAGAGUUCUCCAGAUCCUCCAAGCGCCGUCGGCGCCACCACUCCAGACACUGUUCACGAGGCCUCAAAGCGUGGAGGCGGUGGCCCGGGGCCGACUCUCGGGUGACCGCCAAUUUGGUCCCAAGACACUUCAGGAUCUCGCAACGGAUGGAGGACAGCGCGGUUCCAAGAGAGGGCGCCAAAGGCGACGCGCUGGCGGCCAGCUCCAAGCCAACCAGGCCCAUUGCGUCCGUCUGCAGGAACCUGUCCCUUCACCCUGCUUUGGACACUGAGCUUCGGAGGAUCUGGCUGCGAGCUGAUUCAACGCCAGGGCGCCGCCUAGAGGACAAGAGGGGAUAUAAACUGUUUGAAGUUCAUCAGCACGGUGAAGUUUUAUUGUAUUUCCGGUCCCUAAAAGAGAAGCCGGCAGCCAGGCAGACUCCCUCCUUAUCUCCGAGUUUCCACGCCAGGGACACACACGUGGCCAAGCGGACACUUGCCUUCGGGAGCAGGGAGGGAGAGAGCCCGCUCCGAUCGACUCUCCCUCACCGGCUCAGCCAGGUCCUCAACGUCUCCACUUCUUUGUAAAUGUGGAAAAGAGUGGCCUACCUGGGGCUGUCCAGCAGCUGUGAAACCAGAGUCCUAUCGUAUGCCAGCAGAGUGACUGUUUCAGCCUUAUUGUUUGUGCCCUAGAAUUCACGGUGCCUUCUAACCCUGA
rnacentral:lncRNA from 1 species